rnacentral:misc_RNA from 1 species
AAAUGCGAUAAGUAAUGUGCAUUGCAGAAUUCAGUGAAUCAUCGAAUCUUUGAACGCACAUUGCGCCCCCUGGUAUUCCGGGGGGCAUGCCUGUUCGAGCGUCAUUUCACCACUCAAGCCUCGCUUGGUAUUGGGCGACGCGGUCCGCCGCGCGCCUCAAAUCGACCGGCUGGGUCUUUCGUCCCCUCAGCGUUGUGGAAACUAUUCGCUAAAGGGUGCCGCGGGAGGCCACGCCGUAAAACAACCCCAUUUCUAAGGUUGACCUCGGAUCAGGUAGGGAUACCCGCUGAACUUAAGC